rnacentral:rRNA from 1 species
UACGAGGGGGGCAAGCGUUGUUCGGAAUUAUUGGGCGUAAAGGGCGCGUAGGCGGUUUGGCAAGUUUCGUGUGAAAUCUUCGGGCUCAGCUCGAAGUCUGCACGGAAAACUGCCGGGCUUGAGUAUGGGAGAGGUGAGUGGAAUUCCGUGUGUAGCGGUGAAAUGCGUAGAUAUCAGGAGGAACACCUGUGGCGAAAGCGGCUCACUGGACCAUAACUGACGCUGAUGCACGAAAGCGGUGGGGAGCAAACAGG